UUAAAUGGUGUGUACAGUCUGGCGAUCAACAGUUUAAAACCCAUGACCACCAGGUGCAUGUAGGUUUUAACUGUUUGAUUUAACAUACACCAAAAGCUGAAAAAGAGAAGUUAUUAAUUUAGUUGGUAAGAAUUAGAAAAAAGCGUCUUAGUUAGUUAAUAAAAAACAGGUGUAUCUGCAUGUUUGCCUCACAUUCUGGAGGUGUUCAAAAUAGGCUAUUAACGUGUGCAAUAUAUAUAUAAAUAUUUGGAGGGUUUGUUAGCGGUAGCUUCAGCAAUAAAUAAAUAAAUUUAAAAAAAUGAUUAAAAAAAUACAGGUAUAUAACUAAAACCAAUCAACACAUCAAUCUCAAAUGUAUCAUUUUAAAGUAGACAUAUUUUCGAAAUUAACAUUUUACAUGUGCUGCAGACAAAAAGCAAUAUAUAACAAAGUGAUAUAACUAUGGCUUGUUUAAGCCUUUAUAGGUUUGACUAAAUGAAUAGAUUUGCAAUAAAGUAACUGUGUACAGUUAGUGGAGAGAGUUUUAAAAACGAAAACUAAAAGACAAACCUUGCACAGAUUUCUGUCGCCUUCUCUUCCUGGUUCUAGUCUGAUCACGCCUUAUAAUGAGUCUGCGUUUUGUCUCCUCCGUUGUUUUACUGCGGUCAAGUGAGCAGUCGUUUUCCAUAGGACAGAUCGCACGCCUCAAUAUGAAAAGAGAAAGUAAACGACGGACGAACAAAAGGUUAACUUGACCGAAACUCGCACUGAAUCAAUUCACAGAUCAGUACACAGCUGAUCUGCCGGUAAACGAGCCUGAACCAAACCAAAGAUCACGGAUGGUAACGAACCGCUGAAGUGAUGGCAGAGGGUUUAACAGGAGCAAAGGAGACCAGAAGGUAACAGUGUAAAGCUUCCUAUAAGUGUGAAAACGUCCCUGGUUCACUUUAAAUUAUACAGCUCACUAUAAUAUUCACAGCUGGUAUUAGAAUCUAGUCCAUUGCAAUAUUAAUAUGUUAAUGACCUAACUUAUUAAUGUUAGUGUCAUAACUUAGGUGUCGGGGCUGGGACCCUGGAAUACGAAAGCUCUGUCCUUUAAGCACACACACUCACAUUGUCUCACAUUUGUGGAGUCAAAUUAGGGUCACAUUAGAUUUGUGCGUGCGUAACCAGAUUUUUUCCGGUGAGUUUACCUAGGUGACAUAAUGUUAGCUGUCCCCGUUAAUGCCUUGGUUUACGUUGCCUACAGUAGUGACUGUGAUCUAUGGACGGAGCACAGCGUUUAACUUGUGUUUUGUGUCGUGUUGUGAACGAUCAGGAGCGUCUUGUUCUUUACCGAUUCUUUUGUUACCUGCCGGCAGGCGCUGUCAGCGCCUAAGUAAACUGUGGGCGAAGCGAAGCAGAGUCAGAGCGGUGCAGGUCUCAGCUGACGGUUGAAAGUGAAUGCUGCGAACUAAAUAAACGAUCACGAUUUCUCAAACCAAGCUUUCUGCAGCAACACUGGGCGUCUGUCUCCUUGUAGACGGUGAUGAUGAGCGAUAAACACCGUGAUUCUACACUGAAAUCCAAGCCUGUCUAAAAAAAGCAUUAUAUAUCAGGCUGUUUAAAACCAUUGUUAAAGUAAACGUGUUUGUUGUUGUCUGAUAAACGAUCACACAGAG